GUUUCCGUAGUGUAGUGGUUAUCACGUUUGCCUCAUAUGCAAAAGGUCCCCAGUUCGAAACUGGGGGGAAACA
rfam:Danio rerio chromosome 4, GRCz11 reference primary assembly.